CCCUACUUCCGUUCCCCCACCAGGCUCUGCUGCCCAGCUAGGCCUCCGGCCCCGUGGUCGUGGGGCGCUUACCUUCGCGCUGUGCCACCCCCGCCCCCGGAGUGCCCAAGAGUGCGCUGUUUUCUCAGACUAUUGGUCUUCCAUCUCCAGCAGUAAAGCUGUACCCUGUUGUAACCCACUUCUUUUUUUUUUUUUUCUUGCUGCAGCAACCUUGUCCCUCUGAUUAUCCAGUCAGAAGUCUGAGCGGUAUAAAGUGCAUUACGUUAAACUAGAUGCUUUGUAAAAAGUGAGGGUAACAAAAAGAAUAUUAAAGUCUUAAGCCCCUAACACUAAUUAUAAAGCAGUAAGUGAAGAAAUACAAAUGAUAUGCUGGGGACCUUUUAUUAAAAUUUAUAUUUUAUUUAAAUUUUUAAUAUACCUAGUGUUUCCAGAUGCAUUUAACUUCUGCGUCACAGAUAAACAAUUCACUUCAUCAUGUGGGGGAUACAAAGCAAAGAGGAACUAAUUUUGUCCUUACCGUCAUGGAAUAUAAGGCAGAUGUAGAAACAGGCGUGGAGAGCUUAAACAACCUGCCUAUUACGGUCACAUAGCUAAUAUGUGGAACCUAGGAGUUCUGACUCCGGAACUGAUACUCCUAACCAUUCAUUGUACUGUGCUGCCUCCAGGACCACCUUAAGGAUGUGCAGAAGUAUCCCAGAUGCACCAUUCCUGGCUAAUUUCACAUCUCUACCUUGAGGAAAAAAAAAAAAAGACGCUGUUAUUACUUACAAGGCCAAGACCCUUCAGAACCCGUUUGUCUUGAAACUAUCGAUCUUCUUGCCUCUGUAGUUUUCUAAUACCACUUAUCGAAUGCUGGUUAUAUCGUUAUUUAUGAUGCUGCAUCAUCUUGCCACCUGUGAAUACUGGCUUCUAAAGACUCUCUCAAGGGUUGUUACUGUGUUUCAUUACUAAUGACCACAAGUGCAAAUCUUACCCAGAGUAUGAAGGAAAAUGUAUGCGACUGAUGGUUUGUUUUCUAGAUUGUUAAAUUUAUACUUUGGAAUUUUAUAAUGUAAAUGUAGAGCAAUGUGGCCUACGACCAUGUCUUUUCUUGAAUUCUUUAGGCCAUAAUCACUACAUUCCUAAAAUUAUCUCAUUCGGUAUUGACCACACCUCUACUUUACACACACCACCACCAGCAGGGAUAAUAGGCGAGGGGCCCUUGACUCAGUGAGAAGAGUGAUAACAUCGGUACAAGUCAUGUCUAACCCUCCUCUAGCAUGGUUAAGAACACCCCUCCAUGAUAAAAACACUCAACAAACAAGAAAUAGAAGGGAACUUCCUCAGCAUGGUAAGGAGCAUCUAGCAAAAAUCCCUCAGCUAAUAUUUACACUUAAUGAUGAAAGGCUGAAUGUUUUCCCCCUAAACACGGGAACAAGACAAGGAUGUCUUUUCUCACCACUUCUAUUCAGCAUUGUAUUGGAAGUGCUAACCAGUGCAAUUAGGCAAGAAAAUAAAAUAAAAGGCAUGCAGGUUGGAAAGGAAAUAAGACUAUCUCUUUUUGCAGAUGACAUAAUCAUGUAUAUAGAAAACCCUAAAGAAUGCACUAAAAAUCUAUUAGAAAUAAUAAAACAAGACCUAAGUAAACUGAAAGAAGAUUUAAUAUUGUUAAGAUGGCAGUACUCACCAAAUUGAUCUACAGAUUUAACACAAUCCGUAUCAAAAUCUCAAGCUGGCUUCUCACAGAAAUUGACAAGCUGACCCUAAAAUUCAUUUGGACAGUCAAGGGACACAGAAUAGCCAAGAUAACCUUGAAAAAGAACAAAGUUGGAGGAUUCACAAGUCCCAAUUUCAAAACUUAAACUACAAAGCUACAGUAAUCAAGAGAGUGCGGUACUAGCACAAGGAAAGCAGAUGGAUGCGUGGAACAGAAUUGAGAGUCCAGAAAUAAAUCCAUACAUUUCCACUCAAUAGAUUUUCAGCAAGGAUGCCAAGACAAUUUAAUGGGGAAAGAACAGCCUUUUCAACAAAUGGUGCUGGGACAAGUGGAUAUCCACAUGCAAAAGAAUGAAGUUGGACCCCUGUCUCACACUGUAUAUGUGUGGAUCAAAGACCUAAAUGUAAAUGCUAAAACUAUAAAACUCUUAGAAUAAAACAGACAUAAAACUUUGUGAUCUUGGAUUAGGCGACGUUUUCUUAGCUAUGACACAAGCAGUGAAAGAAAAAAUUAGAUAAAUUGGGCUUCCUCAGAAUGAAAAAAUGUUUGUGCUUCAAAGGAUGCCAAGAAAGUUAAAAGACAACUCAAAGAACGGGGGAAAAUAUUUGCAAAUCAUAUAUCUGAUAAGGGAUCUACAUCUAGAAUAUAUAAAGAACUCUUAAAAAAAAAACAAAAAAAACCCAGUGCCGUCGAAUCGAUUCCGACUCAGAGCGACCCUAUAGGACAGAGUAGAACUGCCCCAUAGAGUUCCUACAACUCAGUAAUAAAAAGACAACCCAAUUAAAAAAUGGGCAAAAGACAUGUUCACUGCAGCACUGCUUACAAUAGCAAACAGAUGGAAGCAACCAAGGUGCCCAUCAACAGAAAAAUGGAUAAAUAAAUUAUGGUAUAUUCACAUAACGGCAUACUACGCAACGAUUAAGAACAACGAUGAAUCCGUGAAACAUCUCAUAACAUGGAGGAAUCUGGUAGGCAUCAUGCUGAGUGAAAUUAGUCAAUUGCAAAAGGACAAAUAUUGUAUGAGACCACUAUUACAAGAACUCAAGAAAAAGUUUAAACACAGAAGAAAAUAUUCUUUGAUGGUUACGAGGGUGGGGAGGGAGGGAGAGGGGUAUUCAUUAAUUAGACAGUAGACAAGAACUAUUUUAGGUGAAGGAAAAGACAACACACAAUAUAGGGGAGGUCAGCACAACUGGACUAAACCAAAAGCAAAGCAGUUUCCUGAAUACAACGAAACGCUUCGCAGGGUAGCAGGGAGGGGGUCUGAUUGGCAUAACAAAGUGUAUUAAGAAAACAUUCUGCAUCCCACUUUGGUGAGUGGCGUCUGGGGUCUUAAACGCUAGCAAGUGGCCAUCUAAGACAAACCAGUUGGUCUCAACCCACCUGGAGCAACGGAGAAUGAAGAACACCAAACACACAAGGUAAAUAUGAGCCCAAGAGACAGGAAGGGCCACAUAAACCAGAGACUCCAUCUGCCUGAGACUGGAAGAACUAGAUGGUGCCCGGCUACCACUGAUGACUGCCCUAACAGGGAACACAACAGAGAAUCCUGGAUGGAGCAGGAGAACAAUGGGAUGUAGACCUCAAAUUCUCAUAAAAAGACCAGGCUUAAUGCUCUGACUGAGACCAGACGGACGCCGGAGGUCAUGGUCCCUGGGCCCUCUGUUAGCCCAAGACUGGAACCAUUCCCAAAGCCAACUCUUCAAACAGGGAUUGGACUGGACUGUAAGACAGAAAACGAUACUGCUGAGGAGUGAGCUUCUUGGCUCAAGUAGACACACGAGACUAUGUGGGCAGCUCCUGUCUGGAGGCGAGAUGAGAAGGUAGAGGGGGACAGGAGUUGGUUGAAUUGGACAGUGAGAAUACAGGGUGGAGAGGAGGAGUGUGCUGUCUCAUUGGGAGAGCAGCUAGGAGUACAUAGCAAGGUGGGUGUACGUUUUUAUAUGAGAGACUGAGUUGAUUUGUAAACUUUGACUUAAAGCACAAUUAAAAAAAAAGGGGGGGGGGCCAAAAGGCCUGAAUAGGCAUUUACCCAAAGAAGUGUACAGAUGGCCAAUAAGCACAUGAAAAGAUGCUCAGUAUCAUUAAAACAAAAAAAAACAAACCCAGUGCCAUCGAGUCGAUUCCAACUCAUAGCGACCCUAUAGGACAGAACAGAACUCCCCCACAGAGUUUCCAAGGAGUGCCUGGCAGAUUCCAACUGCCGACCCUUUGGUUCGCAGCCGUAGCACUUAACCAGUACACCACCAGGGCUUCCUCAGUACAUCGUUAGCCAUCAGGAAAUACAAAUCAAAACCCAAAUGAGGUACACUUCACACCCACGAGGAUGGCUAUAAUAAAAAAGACAGUGUCGUAUAUAACAAGUGUUGGCAAGGAUGUGGAGAAAUUGGAACCUUUGUACAUGGCUGUUGGGAAUGUAAAAUGGUAGAAUUGCUUUGGAAAAUAGUCUGGCAGUUUCUCAAAAGGCUAAACAUAGAGUUACCAAAUGACCCAGCCAUUCCUCUCCUAGGUAUAUACCCAGAAGAAAUGAAAACCUAUGUCCACAUAAAAACUUGUAAACAAAUGUUCAUAGCAGCAUUAUUUUUAAUAGCCAAAAAAUAGAAACAAUCUAUAUGUCCAUAAAGUGAUGAAUGAAUAAGUAAAACGUUAUAUAUCCAUACAAUGGAAUAUUGUUCAGCAAUAAAAAAAUGAAACACUGGUAUAUGCUAUACCAUGGAUGAACCUUGAAAACAUUAUGCUAAGUGAAAGGAGUCAGUCACAAAAGCCUACCUACAUAUUGUAUGAUCCAUUUAUACGAAGUCUACAGAGACUGAAAGUAGACUAGUGAUUGCCUAGGGCUUGGGGUAUCGGAGGUUGGGAGUGAUAGCUAAGGGCUAUAAAGUUUUCUUUUUGUAGUCCUGAAAAUGUCCUGCUAAUGUGUACACAGUUUCCUUUUGGGAUGAAAGAUGUUGUAAACUUAGAUUAUGAUGAUGGUUGCACAACUCUAAUAUACUAAAAACCACUGAAUUAUGCACUUUUAAAUGGUUGAACUUUUUAGUAUGUAAAUUAUAUCUCAAUAAAGCUGUUCAAAUUAAUUAAUUUUUUAAAAAUCAAGCUGGCCGGUAGGAGCUAUCCACCUGCCAGACAGCUCUCUGGGGCUCUGGGAUGAGCCCACAGGCUCAAAUCCUGAAGAAGCCUGGAUAUCUGAAUGACUCCACGUGGGGGAUGGGGAGUGGAUAUGGGAGGGGAAAGGCUGGAAAGGGCCAGAAAAGGGGAGAAAUGGGGGCCUGGACCUUGUUGUUGUUUGCCGCUGAGUCGAUUCCAACUCAUGGUGACCCUAGGUGACAGGGCUGAGCUGCCCCAUAGGGUUUCCUAGGCUGUAAUCUUUACAGGAGCAGAUCCCCAGGUCUUUUCUCCCACGGAGUGGCUGGUGGGUUCUAACUGGACCAACCAUUUGGUUAACAACUGACUGCUUAGCCAUUGCGCCAUCAGGGCUCCUUGACCCAGGCCUUCUGGGUUCUAACUGGGGCUGGGAGCACCCCUACCAGAUAGCACAGGGCAGCCCCACAGUCACCAGAGGUGGGUUUUAAAAAAAUUUCAAGGUAGGCACACCAAAGCAUGGAGCCUCCUGAGGCACAAGGCAUUAGGCAAGGGACCCAUGUGCUUUGUCUAAAACUGUACCGAUUACCUCCACACGAGGCACGAUGUAGUAAGAAUUAAA